AAAACAGAAUAGAUACGAUUGCAUUGCAUGUAGUAACAGAUGCGAUCAUACCAACAUUAAUGCACUCGAUCCCAGCAGAACUCCGCAGUUAAGGGUGCUUGUGAGAGAGUAGUACUAGGAUGGGUGACCUCCCGGAAAGUCCUCGUGUUGCAUCCCUCUUUUGUUUUCGGUUUUUCUCUUUUUGUUUUGUUAAAAAUAUAUGACUCUAUAAAGUUUAGACCGUGAGGCCAAAAUUGGCAUGUGAUACCUUUUCGGAAAACCCAAAGAGAGCUCUCCGAUGAAUGAGGAAGCACAAUGGAAUUCUUCUAUUUGUUUUUUUUCUACUCCUAAUUUUGACCUUAAUGUACUUUUCAGGCCUUUUUGUGAUCUUUGUUAUAUUACGAGGCGAAAAUUUCAUGUUCGGACAUUGUUUUUGAACUAGGAUAUGACCCGCGGUAUACCGCGGGUUAAAUAUUUU
rnacentral:sRNA from 1 species